ensembl:lncRNA
CCUUAUGUGAAUUGCUCGUCUUCCCUACUGCAUGUCGGCCACCCUGCUGUGUUUUUUCUUUUAUGCCAAACAAAAUGGUCUCUUCAUUGUUGAAAGGGCUGGUAAAUGCCAAGAGAAUUCUCCUGCUGUAAACGACAUUUUUGCUCUACCACUUCUUUUCAUCCAACUGAGGUGCAGGAGAGGACAUAAGCUGGCAUUUACAUCCUCGGAUGAGUCAUCAGAUUACGAAAGAUCUUCCAAGCAGCUGCUCAUGUGAAGUCACAGUCACAAAGAAUUGGAUUAGAGUCGAUUGUAUGGUUUCAGGAUGAGAAAACAACUUGCUGGUUUAAUUCAAUUUCUCCCCCUUCCCCUCGUUUAUCAUUAAGUUUUAUCACAAGUCCCUCAAAAUGGGGGUAGGACCACAUUUAAUCUUUCAGCUGAGCAUUUCUUUACAAUUCCUUCAAGCCUUAACAAUUUCCCAUUAUGUCAUUCAUACCAAGAUAAAUGAAGGCGGAUAACAAGCCAACUGGGUCUGAGGCGUCCAGGAGGUGACAGGGGUGGGAAGAGAGAUGGAAACGAAUAAUGUUGAACGCAAAGACUAACCUAUGGGCCUUGUCUCAGAUUUAACAACCAGUCACUAUGAUUUACAAUCCAAGAUCUCAUUCUUUGCAUCUUAUAUCCCCGAGACAUGAAGAAUGGAAGGAAUGAAAGUGUCACCUAUUUCUUACACGGAUGACUUAUAGGUUUUUAAGGAGGUUCUCUUGGACAUCAGAGCAAGUUGCCCUUGACGGAUGACUUUGCUACUGUAUUUGAUUUCAAGUUCCCACCAAGGAGUGCCAAACAAAAUCUGUUACGUUUUAAAUCGUCAUGUAAUUUCUGCCCCCUUCCCUCUGCUCCACCACAUGUCCAACCAACAAAUAAAUCAUGCCAAAGUCUUAACCACAUGCUUUAAAAUGAAACAAGCACAAGGGACAUUUUUCAAGCUCACAUCUGGAACCAUUGUUUGGGAAGAAGUCUACCAGGUAGUGUUCUAUUUUUUUUUUUU